rnacentral:rRNA from 1 species
UACGUAGGGUCCGAGCGUUGUCCGGAAUUAUUGGGCGUAAAGAGCUCGUAGGCGGUCUGUCGCGUCGGCUGUGAAAUCCCGCGGCUCAACCGUGGAACUGCCUUAGAUACUGACGGCCUCGAGGGAGGUAGGGGCGAGCGGAACUGUGAGUGGAGCGGUGAAAUGCGUUGAUAUUCACAGGAACUCCGGUGGCGAAGGCGGCUCGCUGGACCUUUU